GUACGGAAGGCAGCAGUGGGGAAUUUUGGACAAUGGGCGCAAGCCUGAUCCAGCCAUUCCGCGUGAGUGAAGAAGGCCUUCGGGUUGUAAAGCUCUUUCAGCAGGAACGAAACGGUCUUUCCUAAUACGGAGGGCUAAUGUCGGUACCUGCAGAAGAAGCACCGGCUAACUACGUGCCAGCAGCCGCGGUAAUACGUAGGGUGCGAGCGUUAAUCGGAAUUACUGGGCGUAAAGCGUGCGCAGGCGGUUCUAUAAGACAGAUGUGAAAUCCCCGGGCUCAACCUGGGAACUGCGUUUGUGACUGUAGGACUCGAGUGUGGCAGAGGGGGGUGGAAUUCCACGUGUAGCAGUGAAAUGCGUAGAUAUGUGGAGGAACAUCGAUGGCGAAGGCAGCCCCCUGGGUCAACACUGACGCUCAUGCACGAAAGCGUGGGGAGCAAACAGGAUUAGAUACCCGGGUAGUCC
rnacentral:rRNA from 1 species